UUACACAUGCAAGUCGAGCGGAGAUGAGGNGCUUGCACCUUAUCUUAGCGGCGGACGGGUGAGUAAUGCUUAGGAAUCUGCCUAUUAGUGGGGGACAACAUUCCGAAAGGAAUGCUAAUACCGCAUACGUCCUACGGGAGAAAGCAGGGGAUCUUCGGACCUUGCGCUAAUAGAUGAGCCUAAGUCGGAUUAGCUAGUUGGUGGGGUAAAGGCCUACCAAGGCGACGAUCUGUAGCGGGUCUGAGAGGAUGAUCCGCCACACUGGGACUGAGACACGGCCCAGACUCCUACGGGAGGCAGCAGUGGGGAAUAUUGGACAAUGGGGGGAACCCUGAUCCAGCCAUGCCGCGUGUGUGAAGAAGGCCUUAUGGUUGUAAAGCACUUUAAGCGAGGAGGAGGCUACUGAGACUAAUACUCUUGGAUAGUGGACGUUACUCGCAGAAUAAGCACCGGCUAACUCUGUGCCAGCAGCCGCGGUAAUACAGAGGGUGCGAGCGUUAAUCGGAUUUACUGGGCGUAAAGCGUGCGUAGGCGGCUUUUUAAGUCGGAUGUGAAAUCCCCGAGCUUAACUUGGGAAUUGCAUUCGAUACUGGGAAGCUAGAGUAUGGGAGAGGAUGGUAGAAUUC
rnacentral:rRNA from 1 species